rnacentral:rRNA from 1 species
CGGGGUGAGUAAUGUCUGGGAAACUGCCUGAUGGAGGGGGAUAACUACUGGAAACGGUAGCUAAUACCGCAUAACGUCGCAAGACCAAAGAGGGAGACCUUCGGGCCUCUUGCCAUCGGAUGUGCCCAGAUGGGAUUAGCUAGUAGGUGGGGUAACGGCUCACCUAGGCGACGAUCCCUAGCUGGUCUGAGAGGAUGACCAGCCACACUGGAACUGAGACACGGUCCAG